UUCAAAAUGAUUGCUACAUUCACAGGGAUCAUGACAUUAGUGAAUUCUUGGACCGGCUAUAGUUAACGGUUUCUUAACCAUCUAAACAGGUCUCCUUUGUAAAUUUUCUACAAGAACGUUUGGUAUGAUGUCCAUGUGUACAUUUGCCUCAUAGUGUACACAUGUACAUUUUGUACUCAUAGUGUCCAUAUGUACAUCUAUAGGUAUCC
rnacentral:lncRNA from 1 species